UACGAAGGGGGCUAGCGUUGCUCGGAAUCACUGGGCGUAAAGGGUGCGUAGGCGGGUUUUUAAGUCAGAGGUGAAAUCCUGGAGCUCAACUCCAGAACUGCCUUUGAUACUGAAAGUCUUGAGUACGGGAGAGGUGAGUGGAACUGCGAGUGUAGAGGUGAAAUUCGUAGAUAUUCGGAGGAACACCAGUGGCGAAGGCGGCUCACUGGUCCGGUACUGACGCUGAGGUGCGAAAGCGUGGGGAGCAAACAGG
rnacentral:rRNA from 1 species